UACGUAGGGGGCUAGCGUUGUCCGGAAUCAUUGGGCGUAAAGAGCGUGUAGGCGGCCCGGUAAGUCCGCUGUGAAAGUCGGGGGCUCAACCCUCGAAUGCCGGUGGAUACUGUCGGGCUAGAGUGCGGAAGAGGCGAGUGGAAUUCCUGGUGUAGCGGUGAAAUGCGCAGAUAUCAGGAGGAACACCGAUGGCGAAGGCAGCUCGCUGGGACGGUACUGACGCUGAGGCGCGAAAGCGUGGGGAGCAAACAGG
rnacentral:rRNA from 1 species